CAGCCCUAAACGAUGCGCGUUAGGUGUAUCGGUGACCACGAGUCACCGAGGUGCCGAAGGGAAACCGUGAAACGUGCCGCCUGGGAAGUACGGUCGCAAGGCUGAAACUUAAAGGAAUUGGCGGGGGAGCACCACAAGAGGUGGAGGCUGCGGUUUAAUUGGACUCAACGCCGGGAAGCUCACCGGAUAAGACAGCGGAAUGAUUGCCGGGCUGAAGACCCUGCAUGACCAGCUGAGAGGAGGUGCAUGGCG
rnacentral:rRNA from 1 species